rnacentral:rRNA from 1 species
GACGAACGCUGGCGGCGUGCUUAACACAUGCAAGUCGAGCGGUAAGGCCCCUUCGGGGGUACACGAGCGGCGAACGGGUGAGUAACACGUGAGCAAUCUGCCCUUCACACGGGGAUAACUUCGGGAAACCGGAGCUAAUACCCGAUACGACCACCUCGGGCAUCCGAUGGUGGUGGAAAGCUUCGGCGGUGAAGGAUGAGCGCGCGGCCUAUCAGCGUGUUGGUGGGGUAACGGCCCACCAAGGCAACGACGGGUAGCCGGCCUGAGAGGGUGACCGGCCACACUGGGACUGAGACACGGCCCAGACUCCUACGGGAGGCAGCAGUGGGGAAUAUUGGACAAUGGGCGAAAGCCUGAUCCAGCAACGCCGCGUGAGGGAUGACGGCCUUCGGGUUGUAAACCUCUUUCAGCAGGGACGAAGCGCAAGUGACGGUACCUGCAGAAGAAGCACCGGCCAACUACGUGCCAGCAGCCGCAGUAA